ACAGUACAUCAUGAUCUGCAUGACAAACUGAGUUGACAAUAUGGCAUCCUCUGAGCAUAGUGGGGCACGUACUCCCUUUCAGGACCUGACGUACAACGGCAAUUCAGGUCAAAAAACAGAUCCAAAAGAACUAAAGAGACAGAGGGAGAGGGAGAGGUAAACAGGGAUGCAAUACUAAAAAAAUAAGACAGGAGGCAAGGGAUCUAAGAAAGUUACGUCUGCUAUUCUAAAUGGAACCAACACUCUAUCUAAGCCACCCGUGGCCAUGUCGCCUGGUUACUCCAUUUUCUCAUACAUUUCAUGAAUCACAAGUAAAGUCGUGUUAAUUAAGUGUUCUUUUGGACAGGUUUUGACACUGUGGACAGGCCCAGGGCGUAGUCUGCUGUCACCCAGCAACGACACACCCCAGCUGUGGAAGGCAUACCUGUUGAUAUGAUAAUGAGUGAUCAGACUCCACUUCAUGCUCCAAAUUCAUUAAGAACAUCAGAUAGUGCCGGUUCUAACAAGGAAAAUGUCCAUAGUAUCGACUCUGACAUUGAGUCCUCCCAACCGACUGUGUUACGACCGCCACUUCAAGCCUACAGAUGCAGCAGUUAAUAUGAAGCAAAACAAGCACUCAAGAGGCAGAGGGAAAGUGCCCGGUAUGAGCAAUAUAAACAAGGUAUAUUACAAAGCCUACAUGACAAACGGCAUCGAGCCAAAUCUACAGUAGUCCUUACAACUGGAGAACAAAAACAAUCCGACACAGCCGAUGAAGAUCGUGAUUGGCUACGGAGCAUCUACAAGUAAGGUCAGGUGGAAGUGUGUUCUUAGAGAAUGCAUGCAUCUCUAACAUGAUAAAGAUCGGUUGCUAUCCGUCCUCAGAUAACACGGAUGCCACACCUGCAUGGGUAUUAAACAGAGCCAAAGAGUAUAUGGAAAAUGAUACGAUAUUCAUUCCAAUAAACAUGGACGAAGUUCACUGGUACCUAUGUGUUAUAAAUGCCAGAAAACUAUGUGUUCAAGUGCUCGACUCGCUAGGCCCAUCAAUGAACCGCAAGGACCUCACUAAUACGCUAGAAGGACUGGUUGAUUUAUUCAAAUAUGCAUCCGAGCACAUGGAAUUAAAAUCCGAUAAGUGGACUGAUCUAAAUGUUACAACAUGGAAAAGAGAAGAAUAUACUAAGAGCAGUCUUCAGACGGAUGGGCACGCCUCCUAAUAUAACUCAGACCAUUUAUGCUUAACAGGGUACAUUUGGUAUGCUAUUAUGUUUAUUUUUUUCACUGCUUAGCACUCCUGAAGCACAUUUCAUCAA